AUGAAUACUAGUAAAACAUGCGACAAUGGGGGUCAAAAGAGGAAAUCCAUGGAUAGAUCUCAUAAUAUUAUUGAUCCUUCUUCAAUAAGAACAAAGGGAUGUGGGAAGAGACUAAAAUCAUCAAAGGAGAAGUCAACUUCAAAGUCCCGGUUAUGUCGUGGAUGUGGGCAUCGAGGUGUGUCACAUGACAAACGCAAUUGUCCAAGUUUACAGCAAGGAUCAACUAUAGAUAAUCAUCAUAACAGCGAUGACGACACAUAUGAAGAAGAAUUGGCAUCAAUAGCGGGUUCAAACAAUAUGCACUAGGAUAAAACUUUUGUAGAUUCAAUAACAAGUAUGAGACUGACGAUGGUCCUGAUAAUCUAGAUAACUUGAGGAAGUUUGCAAAGCAAUUCUAGAGACGAUCACUUGAAGCUGCAGCAUCUAAAGGUGGAGAAAAUGAUGAUAUCCCAGAUCUAAUGCUUGGAGAGACAUUUGAGUCGGCUGCAUAAUCUUGACAAUGAAUUUUUUAUAUAUAUUUCAUAUCAUUUUUGGAAGCUUUAAUUAAAUGUUGCAAUGAUGGGCAAUUUUUUUUAUCUGUUAGUGUUAAUCUUUAUCGCUUACUUUGAAUUUUGAUUGUAAAUUGUAAAUUCAUUUAUUCCCAUAUGCAUAAGACAGUUACAAUACA